GACGAACGCUGGCGGCGUGCUUAACACAUGCAAGUCGAACGAAAAGAGGGAAAGAGCUUGCUCUUUCCGGAAUUGAGUGGCAAACGGGUGAGUAACACGUAAACAACCUGCCUUCAGGAUGGGGACAACAGACGGAAACGACUGCUAAUACCGAAUAAGUUCCAAGGGUCGCAUGAUCCAUGGAAGAAAAGGUGGCCUCUACCUGUAAGCUAUCGCCUGAAGAGGGGUUUGCGUCUGAUUAGCUGGUUGGAGGGGUAACGGCCCACCAAGGCGACGAUCAGUAGCCGGUCUGAGAGGAUGAACGGCCACACUGGAACUGAGACACGGUCCAGACUCCUACGGGAGGCAGCAGUGGGGAAUCUUCCGCAAUGGGCGAAAGCCUGACGGAGCAACGCCGCGUGAGUGAUGACGGCCUUCGGGUUGUAAAACUCUGUGAUCCGGGACGAAAAGGCAGAGUGCGAAGAACAAACUGCAUUGACGGUACCGGAAAAGCAAGCC
rnacentral:rRNA from 1 species